CCUACGGGUGGCAGCAGUGAGGAAUAUUGGUCAAUGGUCGUGAGCCUGAACCAGCCAAGUCGCGUGAAGGAUGACGGAUCUAUGGUUUGUAAACUUCUUUUAUAUGGGAAUAAAGUGAGUAACGUGUUCCUUUUUGUAUGUACCAUAUGAAUAAGCAUCGGCUAAGUCCGUGCCAGCAGCCGCGGUAAUACGGAGGAUGCGAGCGUUAUCCGGAUUUAUUGGGUUUAAAGGGUGCGUAGGUGGUUAAUUAAGUCAGCGGUGAAAUGUUGUGGCGCAACCAUAAAAUUGCCGUGGAAACUGGUUGACUUGAGUGUAUUUGAGGUAGGCGGAAUGCGUGGUGUAGCGGUGAAAUGCAUAGAUAUCACGCAGAACUCCGAUUGCGAAGGCAGCUUACUAAACUAUAACUGACACUGAAGCACGAAGGCGUGGGGAUCAAACAGGAUUAGAUACCCGGGUAGUC
rnacentral:rRNA from 1 species